rnacentral:rRNA from 1 species
UAGUGGCGAACGGGUGAGUAACACGUGAGUAACCUGCCCUCCACUUCGGGAUAACCUCGGGAAAUCGUGGCUAAUACCGGAUAUGAGCACUCAUCGCAUGGUGAGUGCUGGAAAGAUUUAUCGGUGGGGGAUGGACUCGCGGCCUAUCAGUUUGUUGGUGAGGUGAUGGCUCACCAAGACGAUGACGGGUAGCCGGCCUGAGAGGGCGACCGGCCACACUGGGACUGAGACACGGCCCAGACUCCUACGGGAGGCAGCAGUGGGGAAUAUUGCACAAUGGGCGAAAGCCUGAUGCAGCGACGCCGCGUGGGGGAUGACGGCCUUCGGGUUGUAAACCCCUUUCAGUAGGGAAGAAGCGAGAGUGACGGUACCUGCAGAAGAAGCGCCGGCUAACUACGUGCCAGCAGCCGCGGUAAUACGUAGGGCGCAAGCGUUGUCCGGAAUUAUUGGGCGUAAAGAGCUUGUAGGUGGCUUGUCGCGUCUGCCGUGAAAACCCGAGGCUCAACCUCGGGCGUGCGGUGGGUACGGGCAGGCUAGAGUGUGGUAGGGGAGACUGGAACUCCUGGUGUAGCGGUGAAAUGCGCAGAUAUCAGGAAGAACACCGAUGGCGAAGGCAGGUCUCUGGGCCAUUACUGACACUGAGAAGCGAAAGCAUGGGUAGCGAACAGGAUUAGAUACCCUGGUAGUCCAUGCCGUAAACGUUGGGCACUAGGUGUGGGGGACAUUCCACGUUUUCCGCGCCGUAGCUAACGCAUUAAGU